rnacentral:rRNA from 1 species
CCUAAAAUCUAGCCCAAUCAACCCACAUGCUUACAAACCAAUUUCCCAUUAAAAUAAAACAUUUUUAAACUUAAGUAUAGGUGAUAGAAAAAUUUCUAAGAGCCUUAGAUGCAGUACCGCAAGGGAAUGAUGAAAAAGAAAUGAAAAACCUUCAAGCCUAUAAUAGCAGAGAUUCUCACUCGUACCUUUUGCAUCAUGGUCUAACUAGUCCCACCCAGGCAAAACGAAUUUUAGUCUGACCCCCCGAAACUAAGCGAGCUACUUAAGAACAGCCAAGAGCCAACCCGUCUCUGUUGCAAAAGAGUGGGAAGAUUUUUAAGUAGCAGUGACAGACCUAACGAGCUUAGAGAUAGCUGGUUAUCCAGGAAAAGAGUCUGAGCUCUACCUUAAAUUUUAUUACUACAUUGAAAAAUAAACUAAAAUUAAGAGCUAUUCAAAUAAGGCACAGCUUAUUUGAAAUGGGAUACAACCCCUAAUAAUGGGUUAAACACACCAACCCCAAACAAAGUGGGCCUAAGAGCAGCCAUCUUAAAAAAAGCGUUAAAGCUUAAUACACAAAGAAUCUACAAUUCCACAACUAAAACUUAACCCUUCACCUGUACUGGAUUGUCCUAUAUUUGUAUAGAAGUUAUUAUGUUAGAACUAGUAACAAGAAACUACCAUUCUCCAAAAUGCAUGCUUAAGCCAAAUAGGAUUAACCAUUGGCAAUUAACACAACCUUAAAUAUAACACCACACAACUAGUAUAUCUUAAAAAAAUCUAGUGUCAAUCUAACACCAGGGCAUUAAAGGAAAGAUUAAAAAAGAGAGAAGGAACUCGGCAAACCCUAGUCCCGCCUGUUUACCAAAAACAUCGCCUUCUGACUAAACUAUAGAAGGUCCAGCCUGCCCAGUGACAAAGUUCAACGGCCGCGGUACCCUAACCGUGCGAAGGUAGCAUAAUCACUUGUUCUUUAAAUGGGGACUAGUAUCAACGGCAUCACGAGGACUACACUGUCUCCCCUCUUCAAUCAGUGAAACUGAUCUCCCCGUGAAGAAGCGGGGAUUCACCUAUAAGACGAGAAGACCCCAUGGAGCUUUAAACCCAAUGCAUAACCCAGCAUAUAAAUCAAUAAAAUCCUGAAGAUAUCUGCGUUGGUUUUAGGUUGGGGAGACCACGGAGUAAAACUAAACCUCCACAACAAACGGGCUCACGCCCUGAUCUAUGAACUACAAUUCUAAGAGCCAACAAAUUGUUGCUAAUGACCCAAUCAUUUGAUUAAUGAACCAAGUUACCCUGGGGAUAACAGCGCAAUCUACUUCAAGAGCCCAUAUCGACAAGUAGGUUUACGACCUCGAUGUUGGAUCAGGGUAUCCAAGUGGUGCAGCCGCUAC